rnacentral:rRNA from 1 species
UAGGGAAUAUUGGUUAAUCUGCGAAAGCGGGAACCAGCAACGCCGCGUGCACGAUGAAGGCCUUCGGGUUGUAAAGUGCUUUUUGAAAGGAUGAGGAAGGACAGUACCUUCAGAAUAAGCUUCGGCUAACUACGUGCCAGCAGCCGCGGUAAAACGUAGGAAGCGAGCGUUAUCCGGAUUUACUGGGCGUAAAGCGUGUGUAGGCGGUUUGACAAGUUGGAUGUGAAAGCUACUGGCUUAACUGGGAGAGGUCGUUCAGAACUGUCAGACUUGAGAGUGGUAGAGGGAGGUUGAAUUCCGGUUGUAGUGGUGAAAUGCGGAGAUAUCCGGAGGAACACCAGUGGCGAAAGCGGCCUCCUGGCCCAUUUCUGACGCUCAGACACGAAAGCUAAGGUAGCAAACG